UCCCUGGUGGUCUAGUGGUCAGGAAUCAGCGCUUUCACCGCUGCGGCCCGGGUUCGAUUCCUGGUCAGGGAA
rnacentral:tRNA from 1 species